rnacentral:rRNA from 1 species
CCUACGGGAGGCAGCAGUGGGGAAUUUUGGACAAUGGGCGAAAGCCUGAUCCAGCAAUGCCGCGUGAGUGAAGAAGGCCUUCGGGUUGUAAAGCUCUUUUGUCAGGGAAGAAACGGUGGGAGCUAAUAUCUCUUGCUAAUGACGGUACCUGAAGAAUAAGCACCGGCUAACUACGUGCCAGCAGCCGCGGUAAUACGUAGGGUGCAAGCGUUAAUCGGAAUUACUGGGCGUAAAGCGUGCGCAGGCGGUUUUGUAAGUCUGAUGUGAAAUCCCCGGGCUCAACCUGGGAAUUGCAUUGGAGACUGCAAGGCUAGAAUCUGGCAGAGGGGGGUAGAAUUCCACGUGUAGCAGUGAAAUGCGUAGAUAUGUGGAGGAACACCGAUGGCGAAGGCAGCCCCCUGGGUCAAGAUUGACGCUCAUGCACGAAAGCGUGGGGAGCAAACAGGAUUAGAUACCCUGGUAGUCCACGCCCUAAACGAUGUCUACUAGUUGUCGGGUCUUAAUUGACUUGGUAACGCAGCUAACGCGUGAAGUAGACCGCCUGGGGAGUACGGUGCAAGAUUAAAACGUUAAAUGAAUUGACGG